UAGAGUUUGAUCCUGGCUCAGAAUGAACGCUGGCGGCGUGCUUACACAUGCAAGUCGAGCGAGAAAGUUCCCUUCGGGGGACGAGUAAAGCGGCGGACGGGUGAGUAACACGUGGAUGACCUGCCCUGGAGUGAGGAAUAACUUGGGGAAACUCGAGCUAAUAUCGCAUACGCUCGUAUGGCUACGGCCAUGCGAGGAAAGUUGGCCUCUAUAUCGUAAGCUGACGCUCCUGGAGGGGUCCGCGCCUGAUUAGCUAGUUGGUGGGGUAAAGGCCUACCAAGGCGACGAUCAGUAGCCGGCCUGAGAGGGUGAUCGGCCACACUGGGACUGAGACACGGCCCAGACUCCUACGGGAGGCAGCAGUGGGGAAUAUUGGACAAUGGGGGCAACCCUGAUCCAGCAACGCCGCGUGGAGGAUGAAGGCCUUCGGGUCGUAAACUUCUGUCAGUAGGGACGAAAAGCCCUUGGUCAAUAGCCUUGGGUCAUGAC
rnacentral:rRNA from 1 species